UGACCUCAAAUCAGGUAGGACUACCCGCUGAACUUAAGCAUAUUAAUAAG
rnacentral:rRNA from 1 species